UGAGGAAGUGAUGGGAGAUGGGAGGGUCGGUAAAGGAUAACAGCGUCUCUAUGAUUAAUUGUUGUGUUGUUUAUUCUUUUGCCGAUUCCACCCAUUCCUAUGAUUUUCUU
rnacentral:pre_miRNA from 1 species